rnacentral:rRNA from 1 species
AAGACUGCCCGACUUGAGGGCUUACGAGGGACACGGAAUUCCGGGUGGAGUGGUGAAAUGCGUAGAUAUCCGGAGGAACACCAGAGGCGAAGGCAGUGUCCUGGGAAGUACCUGACGCUCAGGUGCGAAAGCUAGGGGAGCAAACGGGAUUAGAUACCCCGGUAGUCCUAGCCGUAAACGAUGACCACUAGGCGUGGGGGGUAUCGACCCCUUCCGUGCCGUAGCUAACGUGAUAAGUGGUCCGCCUGGGGAGUACGGUCGCAAGAUUAAAACUCAAAGGAAUUGACGGGGACCCGCACAAGCAGCGGAGCGUGUGGUUUAAUUCGAUGCAACGCGAAGAACCUUACCAGGGUUUGACAUGUUCUCGCACCACCGGGAAACCGGUGUACCCGCAAGGGACGGGAGCACAGGUGCUGCAUGGCUGUCGUCAGCUCGUGUCGUGAGAUGUUGGGUUAAGUCCCGCAACGAGCGCAACCCUUGUCGUCGGUUACAAGUGUCCGACGAGACUGCCGCGAUCAACGCGGAGGAAGGCGGGGAUGACGUCAAGUCAGCACGGCCCUUACAUCCUGGGCUACACACACGCUACAAUGGUCGGUACAACGGGUUGCCAACCCGCGAGGGGGAGCUAAUCCCAGCAAAACCGGUCUCAGUUCAGAUUGUAGGCUGAAACUCGCCUGCAUGAAGAUGGAGUUGCUAGUAACCGUGGGUCAGCACACCACGGUGAAUACGUUCCCGGGUCUUGUACACACCGCCCGUCACACCACGAAAGUCGGCAACACCUGAAGCCGUCGGGCUAACCCGUAAGGGGGGCAGACGUCGAGGGUGGGGUCGGUGAUUGGGGUGAAGUCGUAACAAGGUACCAAUCCCGCGGCCAGGCGGCC